AUUGAACGCUGGCGGCAUGCUUUACACAUGCAAGUCGAACGGUAACAGGCCGCAAGGUGCUGACGAGUGGCGAACGGGUGAGUAAUGCAUCGGAACGUGCCCAGUCGUGGGGGAUAACUACUCGAAAGAGUAGCUAAUACCGCAUACGAUCUAUGGAUGAAAGCGGGGGACCGUAAGGCCUCGCGCGAUUGGAGCGGCCGAUGUCAGAUUAGGUAGUUGGUGGGGUAAAGGCUCACCAAGCCAACGAUCUGUAGCUGGUCUGAGAGGACAACCAGCCACACUGGGACUGAGACACGGCCCAGACUCCUACGGGAGGCAGCAGCGGGGAAUUUUGGACAAUGGGCGCAAGCCUGAUCCAGCAAUGCCGCGUGCAGGAAGAAGGCCUUCGGGUUGUAAACUGCUUUUGUACGGAACGAAACGGCUCUGGUUAAUACCCGGGGCUAAUGACGGUACCGUAAGAAUAAGCACCGGCUAACUACGUG
rnacentral:rRNA from 1 species